AAGUAAAAGUCGUAACAAGGUUUCCGUAGGUGAACCUGCGGAAGGAUCAUUAUCGUAUAACUGAGGCACGAGGGUUGUCGCUGACUUUUUCGUCGUGCACGCCCGAGUGUUCUCAACAUCCAUCUCACCCCUAUGUGCACCACCGCGUGGGUCCCCUUUAGUAGGGGGGCUCGCGUUUUCACACAAACUAGAUACAGUGUAGAAUGUCUUCUUUUGCGAUCACACGCAAUUAAUACAACUUUCAACAACGGAUCUCUUGGCUCUCGCAUCGAUGAAGAACGCAGCGAAAUGCGAUACGUAAUGUGAAUUGCAGAAUUCAGUGAAUCAUCGAAUCUUUGAACGCACCUUGCGCCCCUUGGCAUUCCGAGGGGCACACCCGUUUGAGUGUCGUGGAAUUCUCAAAAACCUUUCCUUUUGGGAAGGAUUUUGGACUUGGAGACUUUUUGUUGGUUUCACCUCGAAGCGAGCUCCUCCUAAAUGAAUUAGUGGGGUCUGCUUUGCCGGUCCUUGACGUGAUAAGAUGUUUCUACGUCUUGGGUUUGGCACUGUCACUUGGGCACCUGCUUCUAACCGUCUCAUCGACAAUGAUGGCGUUCCGGUCACCACCGUUUCAUCGGUGGGAGGCUUGACCCACAAAGAAAACCUUGACCUCAAAUCGAGUGAGACUACCCGCUGAACUUAAGCAUAUCAAUAAGCGGAGGAA
rnacentral:rRNA from 1 species